GCUUCACCGGAAUCUCCCUCAGCUCAUCCUGCUGAUGAUGUUGAUUCCCUCCAUUCUCCUAAUUCUUAUUCUCCAUGGUGAGAGCUUUGCUGAGAUGCCGGUGGAGCUACUCGUCGAAGCUCUUUAACGAAGAUAAGAUCUGAGGCAAAAAUUCUCUCCCUCAGUCAGAUUUUUGACAAAUGCCCCAAAACAUUGAGAAAGUGGUGGAGAAAUCGAAGGGAUUCAUGCAAUUGUUCAAAUUUCUCAAUGAAAAAGAUAAAGAUAUCUUCACCGUAGACAUGUACUUCGUUAUUUUAACUUAAUCGCUUCAAAGAUGGGUAAAAACGAAUUUGUGACUAUCAAGUGGCAAAAUUAGAGAACUUGACCAACUGCUAUUGAACAGAUGUGCAAAAUUAGAAACUCAAGGACACGUUAUAACAUUCUUCCCAAUCUACCUUCAUACUUGUUUUCA